CGGUGGAGUAUGUGGUUUAAUUCGAUGCAACGCGAAGAACCUUACCUGGUCUUGACAUCCCGGAGACCCUUAGGAAACUAAGGGGUGGCUUCCAUCUGGAAGAAUCUGGAGACAGGUGCUGCAUGGCUGUCGUCAGCUCGUGUCGUGAGAUGUUGGGUUAAGUCCCGCAACGAGCGCAACCCUUGCCUUUAGUUGCCAGCAGUUCGGCUGGGCACUCUAAAGGGACUGCCGGUGUUAAACCGGAGGAAGGUGGGGAUGACGUCAAGUCCUCAUGGCCUUUAUGACCAGGGCUACACACGUACUACAAUGGCCGAUACAAAGGGCAGCGACACUGCGAGGUGAAGCCAAUCCCGUAAAAUCGGUCUCAGUCCGGAUUGGAGUCUGCAACUCGACUCCAUGAAGUUGGAAUCGCUAGUAAUCGUGGAUCAGCAUGCCACGGUGAAUACGUUCCCGGGCCUU
rnacentral:rRNA from 1 species